rnacentral:rRNA from 1 species
CUGGCUCAGGAUGAACGCUGGCGGCGUGCUUAACACAUGCAAGUCGAACGAAGCAAUUUUCCACGAUCCCUUCGGGGUGACGGAUUAUUGACUGAGUGGCGGACGGGUGAGUAACGCGUGGGUAACCUACCUUGUACAGGGG